GAUGAACGCUGGCGGCGUGCCUAAUACAUGCAAGUCGAGCGAACAGAUGAGAAGCUUGCUUCUCUGACGUUAGCGGCGGACGGGUGAGUAACACGUGGGUAACCUACCUAUAAGACUGGGAUAACUCCGGGAAACCGGGGCUAAUACCGGAUAAUAUUUUGAACCGCAUGGUUCAAUAGUGAAAGACGGUUUCGGCUGUCACUUAUAGAUGGACCCGCGCAGUAUUAGCUAGUUGGUAAGGUAACGGCUUACCAAGGCGACGAUACGUAGCCGACCUGAGAGGGUGAUCGGCCACACUGGAACUGAGACACGGUCCAGACUCCUACGGGAGGCAGCAGUAGGGAAUCUUCCGCAAUGGGCGAAAGCCUGACGGAGCAACGCCGCGUGAGUGAUGAAGGUCUUCGGAUCGUAAAACUCUGUUGUUAGGGAAGAACAAAUUUGUUAGUAACUGAACAAGUCUUGACGGUACCUAACCAGAAAGCCACGGCUAACUACGUGCCAGCCGCCGCAGUAA
rnacentral:rRNA from 1 species